rnacentral:rRNA from 1 species
CUCGCGGCCUAUCAGCUUGUUGGUGGGGUAAUGGCCUACCAAGGCGACGACGGGUAGCCGGCCUGAGAGGGUGACCGGCCACACUGGGACUGAGACACGGCCCAGACUCCUACGGGAGGCAGCAGUGGGGAAUAUUGCACAAUGGGCGAAAGCCUGAUGCAGCGACGCCGCGUGAGGGAUGACGGCCUUCGGGUUGUAAACCUCUUUCAGUAGGGAAGAAGCCGUAAGGUGACGGUACCUGCAGAAGAAGCGCCGGCUAACUACGUGCCAGCAGCCGCGGUAAUACGUAGGGCGCAAGCGUUAUCCGGAAUUAUUGGGCGUAAAGAGCUCGUAGGCGGUUUGUCGCGUCUGCUGUGAAAGACCGGGGCUCAACUCCGGUUCUGCAGUGGGUACGGGCAGACUAGAGUGCAGUAGGGGAGACUGGAAUUCCUGGUGUAGCGGUGAAAUGCGCAGAUAUCAGGAGGAACACCGAUGGCGAAGGCAGGUCUCUGGGCUGUAACUGACGCUGAGGAGCGAAAGCAUGGGGAGCGAACAGGAUUAGAUACCCUGGUAGUCCAUGCCGUAAACGUUGGGCACUAGGUGUGGGGGACAUUCCACGUUUUCCGCGCCGUAGCUAACGCA